rnacentral:rRNA from 2 species
AAAAACUUUCAACAACGGAUCUCUUGGUUCUGGCAUCGAUGAAGAACGCAGCGAAAUGCGAUAAGUAAUGUGAAUUGCAGAAUUCAGUGAAUCAUCGAAUCUUUGAACGCACAUUGCGCCCGCCAGUAUUCUGGCGGGCAUGCCUGUUCGAGCGUCAU